rnacentral:lncRNA from 12 species
CUCACGUCAUCUGGGCCACCACAGGUUUCCAGGAACCAACUGUGUCGUUUGUCUGGUGAACAUCUUCCUCAUGUCUUUGGUCCUUUCCAGAUUAAGGAGAUGCUGUGUGUGUGUGUGUGUGUGUGUGUGUGUAUAGGUAUGUAUGUAUUUGUUAGUUUUUCACAGUUAUAUUCUCCAUCUCACAGCAGAAGUGUCUGUAAUUCUCACUUCUUUCUUGUCAUUUGGCUGCGAGUUCCAAUUCGUUGGCUUUUUUACGGAGAUUCCAGAGAGUACUGACGAGGAGCACCUCCCUCCCUGGAGCACCCUGCUGACCAUGUAUGGGCCUCUGUGCCGGACACCGAGGGAAUGGGAUCACAGACAGCUGAGAAUUAAAGGAUCAAUGUUUCACUUACUGUUAAACAGCUCUCUGGGCUGCCGGUGAGUAAAGAGAGGUGGGAGGAGGGCGGGAAGCGGGCCCUCAGCCUGCGGGCCUCUCAGGCCUCUAGGCCCAGGUGGGGACACAGGGAGCCCCCAGGAGGGGAGGACUUCCUUUUGUCGCUCACUGCCACGGGUCCUGCCUUGCCAUUUGGUUUCUGCUGAGGAUGGAAGACUCAUUCUUGAAACAAUUUGAGAGAAGACUCAGAACAGAGUGUUGGGAAAGGCAGGGCCAUUUGCCCAAAAGAACUAGGAAAGAAGAGUAAGAAAGCCUAACAGAUUCGUAACAGGAACUCCUUUGGAUGAGGUGUCUCUCCACCUCCAAGCUCUGGGUGCUGCUGAGGAAAUGCUAUUCCAGGCCCUCGAGCUUGUCCAGACCAUUAUCUGUGGUUUUCUGUGAUAAAGACAAUGUCUCAUUUCUUGUACCCCUGCCCGGAAGGGGUUAUGAUGGAGAG